rnacentral:snoRNA from 1 species
AAGCUACACUCUGUGGCAGAAGUCUGCAAAGACGAUGAUCUGCUUCAAUUUGAGCUUUGCUACAGUGAAGCUUCGUCUGUCCUGAUCGAGGCGUCCGGUCUGUCGGGCUUCUGCUCAGAGACGACGGCGAC